UCAGGGGAACCAACCAGGUGAUUGUAGGUUGGAACUUUCAGCCCCUCCCCUCCAGACCUCUGAGCCUAUCAUCAAUGGCAAAUGAUUUAACCAAUUGUGCCUAAGUAACAGAACCUCCCUAAAAACUCUAAGCAAGGACUCUGGAAAGCUUCCAGGCUGGUGAACAAACCAGCAUGCUGGGAUGCUGGUUCAUUUGGAUAGGAACACCUUCCCCUUGGAGUUACACUACCCUGGACACACAAGAACAAUUGAAUCUCAACUUUAAAGCCAGCACAGACUUAGAAUUCUUAGGACAUCCACAAUCUAAACAUCUGUAUAACCAGAGAGGCUCUGAAAUGCCAUUACUCAUUUUGAAAAACAGCCCCGAUUAGUUCCAAUCUUUUGAGCUCACAACAUUUUAAGUUGCAACAUUAAACCGCUGCCCUGUAUGGAACUGCUACCAACUUGCUCUCACCAAAUGUCAAAUACUCUUAAGGAACAGAGGACUUUAAAUUUUCCAUAAAGUUUAAGAUCAAAUAAAGCACAGAAACGAUUGAAAAACAAGUCUAGCACCUAGAAGAAAUGAGGAGAUGGAAAGCUGGUUGAAUUAAGAGGAAGUCUGAGUGAGACACUUGUUAUUCAUGGGAAAAACAUAAUACUAGGUUUUACGGAUGACAGGCUGUAAGUACGUGUUUGAAAGUGCACGUUUGAAAUAGAACUAUCCUACAACCCAGCAACUGCACUAUGAGGACAAAUGGGUUACUUAACUGAUGAUGGUAGGGGGCCAGAGUGAGAAAAGGAAACAUGUCCGAAGUGACCCUGUAUCUUCUUCACUCUGUCCACAGUUUACCGACCAAAGUAUGCGGAAAAGGAAAGCAGUGGUAAACAAGUCCUUCAGCUUUCGAUUAUGCACGACAAGCAGCUGGAAACUCACCAUCAGCAUGAGAGGCAGCUUCAGGACAACUGAGACUUUCCCUGUACUCAAUUUCUACAUGUUGGAUCUAGACAAUGUUUGCAUAUCUCUCAGUCUAAAGAUACAUUCUAUUCUUAUCCGAGUUUAACAGAUGGGGGAAAAUGGGCACAGAGAGACUAUAUAAUUUGCCUAAGGACUCACACAAGUGUCAGACCUGAAUUUGAACCUAGACUCACCCCUAAAGUCCAGAGGCUACACUUUCUAGCUUCAUGAUGAAUACUGAAAAUGUCCCAUUGAUUCAAUUUAUAUUAAACCACUUAUUUAUGUAAUUCAUUUCUUAUUCAUUUUCCAAGUUUUCCCUGCAUGUUAUUAUUUAUCACUAACUCUCUACUCUGUCUUGCUACUGACUUCAAGAACAAAGCCAUCCCUACUCCCUUGGCCUGUAAAAUAAGAACAUUCAUCUCCAUUUCCCUCACUUAUUCUAAUCCUACCCACCCUUCAAGCGCUGGCUUAAUGUCACCACCUGCAGGGACUCCUCCCGGCUACUUGUCAGCAAAGAAGUCUCUCUUCUCCAACUUCCUUUUGGCAAUGGAAACAAAUACCUUACUCACUCUUGCCAAAUAAUUACCUUUAAUAUCUGGAUUCUCAGUUUGACUGCAAUCUCACCUACAAAGUAACUGAUAGUGCCCCUGUAGGCCUAUAGCAAGAGUUCAACAGCUGCACAGCUUCAAAAGAUGACUCUAAUACCUUACAGACUCUUCCCUUUAUUUUUAAAAUGUUUUAUGGUGAAAGAUGCGCCCAUAACCUACUUGUAAUCUGGAAUACACAAAUUAUUCUGAAACCCA